AUCGCUUCUCGGCCUUUUGGCUAAGAUCAAGUGUAGUAUCUGUUCUUAUCAGUUUAAUAUCUGAUAUGUCCUCUAUUUGAGGACUAUAUAAAAAUGUCGCCUU